rnacentral:rRNA from 1 species
GACAGAGGGUGCAAACGUUGCUCGGAAUUACUGGGCGUAAAGCGCGUGUAGGUGGAUUGGUGUGUCAGAUGUGAAAGCCCUGGGCUCAACCCAGGAACUGCACCUGAAACUACCAGUCUUGAGUGGUGGAGAGGGAAGUGGAAUUCCUGGUGUAGAGGUGAAAUUCGUAGAUAUCAGGAGGAACACCAGUGGCGAAGGCGGCUUCCUGGACACUAACUGACGCUGAGGAGCGAAAGCUAGGGGAGCAAACGGG